AUGGUUUAUACAAAAAAAGUGACACAUUCGCAGAUUCGCUAGUUGCGACGUUGACCUAAUGUGUGUACGAUUUACUCACUCGUUACCGCUCCUUCACAAAAUUAAAUAUUUUUCAAGUGUAAAUAUGUAAUAAAUAAUAAUAUACAAUGCCAAAAGAUGAAUGACAAAUCAAAAGAAAACCACCAGAAAUGGAAAGAGGAAAACCCCUACUAUUGUUUUUAGGCUGGGUGGUGUGGAGUGGCGUCCUCCCUACACAUCAGCUUGAUAGCGCCCCAACACCACCCCAGGGUGCCAAAGGUCCUCCUUGAGUGCAAUGGCGGGCGUGAAAGGGCUACAAUUGUAGACCACAUUCUGAAGCCUUGUUGGCUCAAUCAAAUUCCUUCAAAGGGUUUGGCUUCACACCGUGUAUUCUUAUUGACUUUAACUUUUAUCCUACUAAAUCAAUCACAUCAUCUCUCCACUUUUACACUUUUACAUAUAGAGAGAUACAUUUAGCAUAUAGAGGCCGUUAAAAAAAACAUACGGAAAGGUACAUUUAGCCUCACCAAAACUACAAAUACUACAUAUUUGUAAUAAUAUUUACUCAGCCGAGAAUAAUCUUUCUUGGAGUAUGUGUAAUAAGUAACAUAAGUUACACAACAGAUACACUUUACUUACAACUAUAACUUUAAAUUAU
rnacentral:lncRNA from 1 species